UCCGGUUUGACACCGGCAGUCCCCUUAGAGUCCCCAGCAUAACCUGAUGGUAACUAAGGGCAAAGGUUUCGCUCGUUAUGGGACUUAACCCGACAUCUCACGACACGAGCUGACGACAGCCAUGCAGCACCUGUACUUGUUGUACCCCGAAGGGCCUACCCUGCUUUCACAGGGAUAAUCCAAGCAUGUCAAGCCCAGGUAAGGUUCUGCGCGUUGCUUCGAAUUGAACCACAUGCUCCACCGCUUGUGUGAGCCCCCGUCAAUUCCUUUGAGUUUUAGCCUUGCGACCGUACUUCCCAGGCGGUCCACUUAGCACUUUUGCUUCGACCGCAAAACCGUCAGAGGUCCUGCGAUCUAGUGGACAUCGUUUAGGGCCAGGACUAC
rnacentral:misc_RNA from 1 species